rnacentral:tRNA from 1 species
UGGGGGUAUAGUUUUAACUGGCUAAAACCGUGGUCUCCAACACCACUAUUCUAGGUUCGAAUCCUAGUGCCCUCGUAUC